rnacentral:rRNA from 1 species
AUUGAACGCUGGCGGCAGGCCUAACACAUGCAAGUCGAACGGUAACAGAAAGCAGCUUGCUGCUUUGCUGACGAGUGGCGGACGGGUGAGUAAUGUCUGGGAAACUGCCUGAUGGAGGGGGAUAACUACUGGAAACGGUAGCUAAUACCGCAUAACGUCGCAAGACCAAAGAGGGGGACCUUCGGGCCUCUUGCCAUCGGAUGUGCCCAGAUGGGAUUAGCUAGUAGGUGGGGUAAAGGCUCACCUAGGCGACGAUCCCUAGCUGGUCUGAGAGGAUGACCAGCCACACUGGAACUGAGACACGGUCCAGACUCCUACGGGAGGCAGCAGUGGGGAAUAUUGCACGAUGGGCGCAAGCCUGAUGCAGCCAUGCCGCGUGUGUGAAGAAGGCCUUCGGGUUGUAAAGUACUUUCAGCGGGGAGGAAGGGAGUAAAGUUAAUACCUUUGCUCAUUGACGUUACCCGCAGAAGAAGCACCGGCUAACUCCGUG